UCCUCGGUGGCGCAAUUGGCUAGCGCGUCUGACUGUUAAUCAGGAGGUUGAAAGUUCAAGCCUUUCCCGAGGAG